GUGCAAUAUCUGCAAUUUUCACUUGUUUCUUUUUCUUUUUCUUAAGUCCUUUUUUUUUAGUCACAGAUUGCGAUAAAGGGGAA
rnacentral:ribozyme from 13 species